CACCAGGUCACCCCCUCCCUCACUGUCACCCUGUUGGAGAUAAAAUCAGCGUUGAACAUCAUAAAAUAGCACAUAAAGUAGCAAGCCGGAGUAAUGCCAAACAUCCAUCAUAUCGGGUUUAAACAAUAUUCCCUUUUAACCCCCCACCCCCUCUUUGGAUCAGGGUCUUGGAUUACCAGUCCACCCAGUGAUCUGGGGCCAGGU